AAAAGUCCUUCUAAUAGCAAAGUGGAAAGGUAGGCUGUGAACAAUCUUGAAUGCCAUACUAAGAUUUGUACCUAUUCUCAUAGGCAGUGAAGAGCCAUCAAUAGUUUUUACAGAGGCUGACCUGAUAACUCCGGCGGUUCAAUGUGCAUGCUAUAUACUAUAUGCACAACACAUUUGGAAGGAAGGGAACAGCGCUCAGAGAAAUCAAAUCGCUUGCCCAUAUUACAUAGCUCGUCAGUGGUGGAGUCGGGGUAUAAUCAGAAACUCAUGCUCCUUCCUCUACCUCUCCCCAGCACAGAGUUGGAUCAGCACUGUUCACCCAGCUGGUAUCCCCAUUUCAUGGUAAAGCCUGGAAGCCUAGGUCUGACUGAUGCUUGUUGAAAUACAGACUGUGGGAGCAGACUGCAGGACAGCCUUGUGACAGAGCGGGGGGCCAGGAGAGAGAUGCGGUAGGAAGACUGUUAAGGUGCAUCUCUUAUUUUCUAGGUGGGGCAGCUGCAGCUCUCCCACAAUCUGAGUUUGGUGAUCCUGGUACCCCAGAACCUGAAACAUCGUCUUGAAGACAUGGAACAGGCUCUCAGCCCUUCUGUUUUCAAGGCCAUCAUGAAGAAACUGGAGAUGUCCAAGUUCCAGCCCACUCUCCUAACACUACCCCGCAUCAAAGUGACGACCAGCCAGGAUAUGCUGUCAAUCAUGGAGAAAUUGGAAUUCUUCGAUUUUUCUUAUGACCUUAACCUGUGUGGGCUGACAGAGGACCCAGAUCUUCAGGUUUCUGCGAUGCAGCACCAGACAGUGCUGGAACUGACAGAGACUGGGGUGGAGGCGGCUGCAGCCUCCGCCAUCUCUGUGGCCCGCACCCUGCUGAUCUUUGAAGUGCAGCAGCCCUUCCUCUUCGUGCUCUGGGACCA
rnacentral:sRNA from 1 species